rnacentral:rRNA from 1 species
AACGAACGCUGGCGGCGCGCCUAACACAUGCAAAUCGAACGAGAAUCCGGGGCAACCCGGUAGUAAAGUGGCAAACGGGUGAGGAAUACAUGGGUAACCUACCCUUGAGAAGGGAAUAACCCGCCGAAAGGUGAGCUAAUACCCUAUACGCUAUCUUUUUUUCGAAAAGGAUAGGAAAGCCGGGUCGAGGACCUGGUACUCAAGGAGGGGCUCAUGUCCUAUCAGCUUGUUGGUGGGGUAACGGCCUACCAAGGCUACGACGGGUAGCUGGUCUGAGAGGAUGAUCAGCCACACUGGCACUGAGAUACGGGCCAGACUCCUACGGGAGGCAGCAGUGAGGAAUAUUGCGCAAUGGGCGAAAGCCUGACGCAGCGACGCCGCGUGGGGGAUGAAGGUUUUCGGAUUGUAAACCCCCUUCAUGAGGAAAGAUAAAGUGGGUAACCACUUAGACGGUACCUCAAGAAGAAGCCACGGCUAACUUCGUG